AGGCUUGUGUUGGCCAAACGAGUUGUUCUCUGAAUGUUUCACAAGCAAUUUUUCGAACAAGCAUCUGCGGCAACACAAACAGGCUUGCAGUGCAGGCUACUUGCUAGCUAGGGGAAGAUGCUCCGUUUGAUUUACGAGUCACAGGAAAUCAGAAUCUGCUUUUGUCAAUAACAAACUAGAAUAAUGAUAGGAACCAACAUCAUCACUUGUGAUUCUUUGAUGAUGAUGAUAUGAUAGAACUUUUG
rnacentral:misc_RNA from 1 species